rnacentral:rRNA from 1 species
CCUACGGGAGGCAGCAGUGAGGAAUAUUGGUCAAUGGGCGCGAGCCUGAACCAGCCAAGUAGCGUGAAGGAUGACUGCCCUACGGGUUGUAAACUUCUUUUAUAAAGGAAUAAAGUGAGGCACGUGUGCCUUUUUGUAUGUACUUUAUGAAUAAGGAUCGGCUAACUCCGUGCCAGCAGCCACGGUAAUACGGAGGAUACGAGCGUUAUCCGGAUUUAUUGGGUUUAAAGGGAGCGUAGAUGGGUUGUUAAGUCAGUUGUGAAAGUUUGCGGCUCAACCGUAAAACUGCAAUUGAUACUGGCAGCCUUGAGUAUAGGUGAGGUAGGCGGAAUUCGUGGUGUAGCAGUGAAAUGCUUAGAUAUCACGAAGAACUCCGAUUGCGAAGGCAGCUUACUAAACUGCCACUGACAUUGAUGCUCGAAAGUGUGGGUAUCAAACAGGAUUAGAUACCCCAGUAGUC